rnacentral:misc_RNA from 1 species
CGACGGCAUCUCCUGCAAGCCUCUUCAGUUGUUGGCACGAGCAUUUGCUCGGCCGAUGUCGGUUAUCCUGUGCUGAAUACCUAUCGCGAGGGCAUUGAGUCGGCUAGAAUCAUCUGUUUCCCGCCUUGUGCUGCAGCUCCACGUGGGGCGGCGGCGCGGGGUGGGCCAAAUCGCGCACGUCGAGUGUCGCACCUCGUUCGCCGUUAAGGGCGUUCGGGUUGACGACCCGCGACGUUAUGCUCGAUCUCUCGGGUACGGUGCAUGAUGUGGGUACGAGGCCAYCGGCCUCYGAGCUCCACAAACAAGCGUUCUACGCUUCGUGCGAAYGACGGUCGGUUCRGUCUUUGGCYGUGCUCUUGUAGCUCGGUUCAAGCCGUGCCGA